GUCCUAGCAGUAAACGGUGCGCGUUUGGUGUGAGGAGGUUCGACCCUCCUCGUGCCGGAGCUAACGCGUUAAACGCGCCGCCUGGGGAGUACGGUCGCAAGAUUAAAAACUCAAAGAAAUUGACGGGGCCCGCACAAGCGGUGGAGUAUGUGGCUUAAUUCGAUGCAACGCGAAGAACCUUACCUGGGUUUGACAUGCAUUGCUAAAGGCGGUGAAAGCUGUCGAGGGCAGAAAUGCUCGCCUUGCACAGGUGCUGCAUGGCUGUCGU
rnacentral:rRNA from 1 species